rnacentral:rRNA from 2 species
GCAGCAUGGUCUUAGCUUGCUAAGACNNGAUGGCGACCGGCGCACGGGUGAGUAACACGUAUCCAACCUGCCGUCUACUCUUGGACAGCCUUCUGAAAGGAAGAUUAAUACAAGAUGGCAUCAUGAGUCCGCAUGUUCACAUGAUUAAAGGUAUUCCGGUAGACGAUGGGGAUGCGUUCCAUUAGAUAGUAGGCGGGGUAACGGCCCACCUAGUCUUCGAUGGAUAGGGGUUCUGAGAGGAAGGUCCCCCACAUUGGAACUGAGACACGGUCCAAACUCCUACGGGAGGCAGCAGUGAGGAAUAUUGGUCAAUGGGCGAGAGCCUGAACCAGCCAAGUAGCGUGAAGGAUGACUGCCCUAUGGGUUGUAAACUUCUUUUAUAAAGGAAUAAAGUCGGGUAUGCAUACCCGUUUGCAUGUACUUUAUGAAUAAGGAUGGCUAACUCCGUGCCAGCAGCCGCGGUAAUACGGAGGAUCCGAGCGUUAUCCGGAUUUAUUGGGUUUAAAGGGAGCGUAGAUGGAUGUUUAAGUCAGUUGUGAAAGUUUGCGGCUCAACCGUAAAAUUGCAGUUGAUACUGGAUAUCUUGAGUGCAGUUGAGGCAGGCGGAAUUCGUGGUGUAGCGGUGAAAUGCUUAGAUAUCACGAAGAACUCCGAUUGCGAAGGCAGCCUGCUAAGCUGCAACUGACAUUGAGGCUCGAAAGUGUGGGUAUCAAACAGGAUUAGAUACCCUGGUAGUCCACACGGUAAACGAUGAAUACUCGCUGUUUGCGAUAUACGCAAGCGGCCAAGCGAAAGCGUUAAGUAUUCCACCUGGGGAGUACGCCGGCAACGGUGAAACUCAAAGGAAUUGACGGGGGCCCGCACAAGCGGAGGAACAUGUGGUUUAAUUCGAUGAUUCGCGAGGAACCUUACCCGGUAUUAAAUUGCAGAUGAAUUACGGUAAAAGCCGUAGGCCGCAAGGCAUCUGUGAAUUGAUACUGGGUAUCUUGACAGCUCGUGCCGUGAGGUGUCGGCUUAAGUGCCAUAACGAGCGCAACCCUUGUUGUCAGUUACUAACAGGUUNUGCUGAGGACUCUGACAAGACUGCCAUCGUAAGAUGUGAGGAAGGUGGGGAUGACGUCAAAUCAGCACGGCCCUUACGUCCGGGGCUACACACGUGUUACAAUGGGGGGUACAGAGGGCCGCUACCACGCGAGUGGAUGCCAAUCCCAAAAACCUCUCUCAGUUCGGACUGGAGUCUGCAACCCGACUCCACGAAGCUGGAUUCGCUAGUAAUCGCGCAUCAGCCACGGCGCGGUGAAUACGUUCCCGGGCCUUGUACACACCGCCCGUCAAGCCAUGGGAGCCGGGGGUACCUGAAGUGCGUAACCGCGAGGAGC